GACGAACGCUGGCGGCGUGCCUAAUACAUGCAAGUCGAACGCUUCUUUCCUCCCGAGUGCUUGCACUCAAUUGGAAAGAGGAGGGGCGGACGGGUGAGUAACACGUGGGUAACCUACCCAUCAGAGGGGGAUAACACUUGGAAACAGGUGCUAAUACCGCAUAACAGUUUAUGCCGCAUGGCAUAAGAGUGAAAGGCGCUUUCGGGUGUCGCUGAUGGAUGGACCCGCGGUGCAUUAGCUAGUUGGUGAGGUAACGGCGCACCAAGGCCACGAGGCAUAGGCGACCUGAGAGGGUGGUCGGCCACACUGGGACGGUGACACGGCCCAGACGCCUACGGGAGGCAGCAGUAGGGAAUCUUCGGCAAUGGACGAAAGUCUGACCGAGCAACGCCGCGUGCGUGAAGAAGGUUUUCGGAUCGUAAAACUCUGUUGUUAGAGAAGAACAAGGACGUUAGUAACUGAACGUCCCCUGACGGUAUCUAACCAGAAAGCCACGGCUAACUACGUGC
rnacentral:rRNA from 1 species